ensembl:lncRNA
CUCCCCCUCCGUCCUUCUCUCACUUUCCCCUUGUCUUCCUCUUCCUACCACACGUUCUCAUUAUCAGUUUUCCUUUUCCUCCAUCGUUUUACAUCUCUCUUUCUCUCUCUCUCUCUCUCUCUCUCUCUCUCUCUCUCUGUUUCUCUCACUCCCUCUCUGGUGUUUCUGUGUUGUCUGGUGUUUCUGUGUUGUCUGGUGUUCUAAGUGAGAUCAGAGGCUCCGAGGGGUCGCUGGGAGUCUGGAGGGCAAACAGUGUCAGGGUGUGCAGAGUGCAAGGCUCACUGACGAGAUGAAAUCAAACAGUGUCAGGGUGUGCAGAGUGCAAGGCUCACUGACUGGAGAUGAAAUCAAACAGGUUCAGGGUGUGCAGAGUGCAAGGCUCACUGACUGGAGAUGAAAUCAAACAGUGUCAGGGUGUGCAGAGUGCAAGGCUCACUGACUGGAGAUGAAAUCAUAUUGACACGGCAGC